GGGCCCAAACCCGAACGUUAAAACCGUCGUCUAUCUCCGCCCCGUCCUGGCUCAUAUAUAAUAUAUAAACUAGCGUUUCCCGGCCAUUUGAGCGACAGAAGAAAGAAGAAUACAGAGAGAAGGGAAUCGCAGCUUUCGCUUUCUCUCUCUCUCUCUCUCUCUCUCUCUCUAUAUAUAUUGUAGAAACCCUGACCGGUUCUCCGUGUUGAUUUUCCGGCUGAGGUUCUUUGCGGCUUCUCCAGAAAAUCUGUGAGAGACAAAUCUCAGUGGGAGCGAAGAGAGGUGCUUUCUUUCGAUCGGAGGGGCGGCCGUCCGAUCAAUGGUGAUUGCGGGUGUGACGGAAGAGGGGCAGAGCGCGCGCAAGUUCAUGGCGAUGGGUCCCGAGAGAUCCAAGCCUCUGCAUAAUUUCUCGUUGGGGUGCUUGAAGUGGGGGAACCAGAGGUUACUCAGGUGCGUCAAAGUGAAUUCCGAAGGCGGAGUUUCAGCCGCCGACAGCGGAUCGCCGGGUUCCGGGACGGAUAAGUCUUCGCUGGUUCGCCGCGGGGAGGAUGAUUUUGAGAAGCGUGGAUCUCUCUAUUGUUCGGAGACUUUCAUGAAGUCUCCGUCGCCCGCGGCGGGGAUCGAAAGUUUGAAAAGGCCGAGGAUUGAGAGUGACGGAGAUGAUGGAAUCGAAGCGGUGAGAGCGAAGCUGUUGUUCGAUCUUCAAGCGGCGGCGGAUAAGAUGAAGGUUGCUUUGGUGAGGGAAGGCCAGGCGGCGGAGGAAGAGUCUGCUACCGCGGCGAGGCCUUGGAAUUUGAGGACGAGGAGAGCUGCGUGCAAGGCGCCGGCUGGUGGCGGCGGCGGAGGAGGAGGCAAGAGUUUCAAGGUUGAUGAGAGCAGACCUGGUUUAUCUCCUCUAAAAUCCGAGAACAAGUUCUCAAUGUCCAGAGGCAUCGCCGCUUCGCCUGAGAAAAAAGAGAGGCGGAAAUUCACGAUACCACUUUCCCGGCAGGAGAUUGAGGAGGACUAUUACGCAAUUUUGGUACAUAGGCCCCCACGGAGGCCGAAGAAGCGGGCCAAGAUUGUACAGAAGCAAAUAGAUACUCUUUUUCCAGGCUCAUGGCUAACGGAAAUUACAGCUGAUACAUACAAAGUUCCUGAUUUUCCCGAGACUAGCAAGAAGUUGUAGUUGUAUCUAUCUCAAUUUCUGGACGUUUAGAGCUUUCUGGUUGCUGACCAUUGACAACUGGUAAGCAACACGUGAUGAAUAAACAAACUGUCCUCGGUGUAGAAACUAUUUGCUUUUGCCAAUUCACGCCCAUAACAAAAAGGAUCGCACUGGCUACUUGCUUCCGCAGUUCUAUACUAAUACCAUAGGCUACGCAGUAUUUUCUAUUUGUGCAUUCGCUCGGCUUCCAUUUUUGCAGGUCCCAGUCUUGACCAUUGGAAAUUAUUUCAGAUUGUGUACCUGUCUGGUGCCCUCCCAAUAUAUAAUGUUUCUGAUCUUUCCUAAUAUUUUCCCACAUAUGGCUAAUUUCUAGCUAAAAGGAACCCGAGCUUUAAUUCUAUGGUUUGCCUCGUGGGUCUAGAUCGGUCUUCCAACAUGAGCUUUGGCUCCAAGAUGUUUGGUUUUUGUGCCGAUGAGCAGAGUUCAAAUCCUUUGAUUAGAGGAAUUGUGCAUUUUUGUUGCAGGGAUUUUUUUUGUUUUUCUUUUUUUGUGGGGAGUGGUGAGGUGUGAGUGGGUGGUGGGGAUGUGUUUGGCAUACAGCAAAAAAUCUAGCUAAAAUAAAGUAUGGAAAAUUGUGAUUGCGGUGUGAAA